GAUGAACGCUAGCUACAGGCUUAACACAUGCAAGUCGAGGGGAAACGGCAUCGAAAGCUUGCUUUUGAUGGGCGUCGACCGGUGCACGGGUGAGUAACGCGUAUCCAACCUGCCCAUCACUUGGGAAUAACCUUGCGAAAGUAAGACUAAUGCCCAAUGACAUCCCACGAAGGCAUCCGAAUGGGAUUAAAGAUUUAUCGGUGAUGGAUGGGGGUGCGUCUGAUUAGCUUGUUGGCGGGGUGACGGCCCACCAAGGCAACGAUCAGUAGGGGUUCUGAGAGGAAGGUCCCCCACAUUGGAACUGAGACACGGUCCAAACUCCUACGGGAGGCAGCAGUGAGGAAUAUUGGUCAAUGGGCGAGAGCCUGAACCAGCCAAGUAGCGUGCAGGAUGACGGCCCUAUGGGUUGUAACCUGCUUUUAUAAGGGAAUAAAGUGGGUCACGUGUGACUUUUUGCAUGUACCUUAUGAAUAAGGACCGGCUAAUUCCGUG
rnacentral:rRNA from 1 species